GAUGAACGCUGGCGGCGUGCCUAAUACAUGCAAGUCGAGCGAACAGACGAGGAGCUUGCUCCUCUGACGUUAGCGGCGGACGGGUGAGUAACACGUGGAUAACCUACCUAUAAGACUGGGAUAACUUCGGGAAACCGGAGCUAAUACCGGAUAAUAUAUUGAACCGCAUGGUUCAAUAGUGAAAGACGGUUUUGCUGUCACUUAUAGAUGGAUCCGCGCCGCAUUAGCUAGUUGGUAAGGUAACGGCUUACCAAGGCGACGAUGCGUAGCCGACCUGAGAGGGUGAUAGGCCACACUGGAACUGAGACACGGUACAGACUCCUACGGGAGGCAGCAGUAGGGAAUCUUCCGCAAUGGGCGAAAGCCUGACGGAGCAACGCCGCGUGAGUGAUGAAGGUCUUCGGAUCGUAAAACUCUGUUAUUAGGGAAGAACAAAUGUGUAAGUAACUAUGCACGUCUUGACGGUACCUAAUCAGAAAGCCACGGCUAACUACGUG
rnacentral:rRNA from 1 species